UACGUAGGGUGCAAGCGUUAAUCGGAAUUACUGGGCGUAAAGCGUGCGCAGGCGGUUUUGUAAGUCUGACGUGAAAUCCCCGGGCUCAACCUGGGAAUUGCGUUGGAGACUGCAAGGCUGGAGUCUGGCAGAGGGGGGUAGAAUUCCACGUGUAGCAGUGAAAUGCGUAGAGAUGUGGAGGAAUACCGGUGGCGAAGGCGGCAUCCUGGACCGACAUUGACGCUGAUGAGCGAAAGCUAGGGGAGCAAACGGG
rnacentral:rRNA from 1 species